rnacentral:misc_RNA from 1 species
CCAAGUCGAGUUCCUCCGACACGCAACCAGUCAGAUAUUGCAACUGACACGGGAUUCAACCGGUAAAACUGUGCCGACUUUGUCAAAAAUCAAGUCUAAAAUUCGCAUAUUUCUUCUUUUUAUUAUAUUUUAUUUUAUUUGAGUUCUUACUCAAUCUGUGAUUUAAGUUAGGCGCGUUGUUUCAAGUUAUUGGUGAGAUUUUAACAGAAUAAAUUAAUAAAAAAAAAAAAAUUGUCAUUUCUUCUAAAAUCGGUUCUGGAACACGUUAGGUCAACUUAAACUUGUGCAACAGGUCACACCAAACUGAUGGUUAAAAAUCAGUUAAAUAAUAAUAACUUUAAGCUGAAAUAAUUUGAAAUCAAUCAACAUACGCGACGUUUAUUUAAUACUUACAUACGACUCUUGGAAUAAAUGUUUAUACCACGAGCUUUAUUAAUUUAAUGUCCCAUCAAAUGAAGAAAAUGUACUUUUUAUUAUGAUUAAUAAUAAAAAGUGAUUGAAUUUAGCAGAUAAUAAAAUGUCUUUUAUUGCAGAGCAUCUUUUUGAGAAAAUAACCGACGAGAUUCGAUAUCAAUACAAACAAAGAUUCGAAUGACAUUAGUUUAACGAUCUCUAUCAUUCGAUACCCGAAUACGCAUAAACGUAUAGAUCCAUACUCCCUCUUCGACACCUUCCAUUGGAAGAGAAGAAAGAGCCCUCGAUCUCCUGCAAGAGAAGCGGAUCUCCCAGUUCACGUUCAAGUUGUCCUCUCACACCGAUCGACACGUACGGAACCGCGACAUCAGUACUGAUGUAACGAGGGAGGACACGAGAGUUAACUUCCAGGGAUGGAAUUUCACCUUAUCAAAAAAAUAAUUCUUUGAUCCUUCGAGCCAGCAUUUUCCUUUUCUUCAUUCACUUGAUCCAUUAUUUUUAUAUUUAUUUAUAUUUUCAUCUCAAGCCGGUCUCACUACCUUUUUUUCUUUUUUGAAAAGAAGUAUUACUACCGAGUGAUAAAAUAACACAACAGUAACAGUAACAGUAACAGUGAUCCGGGUGAUUGAAUAAAGUCACGGAAUAAAUGAAUAAAGAGGAUUUUUUUGUUCGGGAGCCAGCCAGCGGUGCAAUUCUUCUAUAAGAGAGUAAUCGUAUACCAGAAGAAUGAUCCAAAUUGAAUGAGGGUAAUUCAAUUCACUUGUGUAUUUGUGGCGAGGAUAUACUGAUAAAUGUAUUGACUAUUUUCCGUCCGAUUUAUCAACGCACUUUCAACGAUUGUUUAGUGACCGUUGAAAUAAAUAAAAAAUAAAGUUAACUCAACUCUAGAGUCUCGAGUGUCGGAUUUAAUGGUUAAAGUUACCGAUUAAGAAAAAACUAUUAUAGUUACUAUUUAUUAAUAAAAUAAAUAAAAUACUCGUUUGUUUAUUUAAUAAAAUAUAAAAAUAAAAAUAUCAUUACGAUUGCAAGUUCAAGUUUGCGUGUAAUCUGCAAAUAAAUGUAGGUCAUCAUAAAAGUAUUUAUAUUUGUAUUACAUAAAAUAAAAUUUAGUUAAGCUUUGAAAAAAGCGUUAGAUAUUUCUUCUUCUUCUUUUUUUUUUUUUUUUUUUUUUUUUUUUUUAUUAUAUUUCUUCAGCUUCCCCGAUUUACUCUAAAUCCAGUGUAUACAUUCAUGAAAUAAAAUUUAUCUGGCAGUGACAUUGAACAGCAAAAAAAUAACACAAAAUGAUAACAAAAUUUAUUAAAGAACAAAAGUCAUGUUUUAUUGUGUUAAAUCGAUAGUAGUGAAGAGAAAAAAUGUUAAAAGAAGAAAUAGGGUUGUAGGAUGAUUGAAAACGGAAAGACUUGGGUAGGUAGUGCACGUGAGGAUGAUGAUCGCUUUAAAAUAGAUUCGUUUAUGUUCGAAAAGAAAAAUAUUAAGACUGAGACUGGUAUUGAGAGUGUUGCUGUGGAUAUUGACAUUGAUAUUGGCAGUGAUUUUGAGUGGGUAUCCUCGAUGCGAUUCAGUGACAAUUACACGAAUUCAUUGACGGGAAUGCUGACGGCAAGUGUUGAGGCGAGUUUUAAUCAGUCGACCACGGAGAGAAGAGACGCGCUUUAUGUCGUUAUACCGGUAACCAUUAUUUAUGCAAUUAUUUUCUUAACCGGUCUGGUAGGCAAUGUCUCGACAUGUGUUGUUAUUGCGCGAAACCGCUCGAUGCAUACGGCCACUAAUUACUAUUUAUUCAGCCUUGCGAUUUCCGAUUUGCUGCUACUUGUUUCGGGAUUACCGCCGGAGAUGUAUUAUAUCUGGUCCCACUUUCCAUAUAUCUUUGGAGAGUCUUUUUGUAUGAUCCAGAGCUUCGCUGCUGAAACAUCUGCUAAUGCAACUGUACUUACUAUUACGGCGUUUACUGUUGAGAGAUACGUAGCAAUUUGUCAUCCUUUCCUGUCGCACACAAUGUCCAAACUUUCACGGGCUGUCAAAUACGUAGUCGCGAUUUGGCUUCUUGCCCUGUGUUUGGCCAUACCGCAGGCCAUUCAAUUUGGGGUGGUUUAUUCACAAGAGAUGAAUGGGACGAUGAUAAUGGAUACGGCAAUGUGUUCCGUCAAGUGGGUAAUAAUUGAACACGCUUUUGAAAUAUCAACUAUUUUAUUGUUCGUCGGGCCGAUGACUAUAAUCACCGUGCUAUACAUACUCAUUGGCAUCAAGUUGAGACAUUCCAGAGUGCUUACCACUAUCAAGAGAAAUCCUUUUCCCGGCUGUCUUAAUCACGGCGAUAGUGGCAGAUCACGAGGCCUAGCUCAGCGUAAUGUCAUAAGGAUGCUUGUUGCUGUUGUGGUCGCAUUUUUUAUCUGCUGGGCACCGUUCCACGCGCAAAGAUUGCUAGCAGUUUAUGCCCAAAGUACCGGGAAUGAACCUCACGCUGCCUUAGUUACUGUCUAUACAGUAUUGACAUAUAUAUCAGGAAUAUUUUACUACCUUUCGACGACUGUUAACCCGCUGUUGUACAACAUAAUGUCCAAUAAAUUCCGCGAGGCAUUCAAGACCAUGCUGGCGGAUCAUUGCCGUGCUGGAAGAUCAUUACAAAAUCGCAGCCCCCAGUUACGAGCUUACAGCAGCCUUUCAAGACAUCAAAAGUCAACAUUAAGAAGACGCGAACCCCAUUCAUCCUCAUCCGCAAGCGAUGAUACUCACCAGCUAGCUCCGCUGACACGACACAAUAAUCAGGGGCAAAUAAUGAUGGAGCACUAUAUUGAUAAUAUUAGUCCGUCAAAUAAUUCUGCGGGCAAAGUCACGGCCAGGAGAAAUAACUUUAGUUACGUCUCUGGCGAAAGGUUUCAACGACAGCUGUAAUAAUAAUGGAGGGAUUUCUCAUGCUAUCAAUAGAUGUUUCAGCAAGGACGAAAAAGCUAUUAAACCGGUGACAAUUGGUAUUUUUCCUGAUGGUAAAAAAGCCGAAGCUAAUGGUCUAUUUCUUCAGUGUAAUAAUGAAGAGAUUAAGCAAAAGUUUAUGGUAGAAAACGAACUCGUAUCAUCGAGUCAUCAGGGUAAUAAAAUUCAAAGUCAUACGAGCAUUG